rnacentral:sRNA from 1 species
AAAUUAUCAAAAAAAAAAAUGAAAAAAAAA